UACAGAGGUCCCGAGCGUUGUUCGGAUUCACUGGGCGUAAAGGGUGCGUAGGUGGUGAGGUAAGUCGGAUGUGAAAUCUCCGGGCUCAACCCGGAAAUGGCAUUGGAAACUACCUUGCUAGAGGAUUUGAGGGGGGAUUGGAAUACUUGGUGUAGCAGUGAAAUGCGUAGAUAUCUGGAGGAACACCGGUGGCGAAGGCGGCAUCCUGGACCGACACUGACGCUGAGGAGCGAAAGCCAGGGGAGCAAACGGG
rnacentral:rRNA from 1 species